CCUUGAAGUUCAUGGAGGACAGGUCCAUUGAUGGUUUUAUCAGUCAGAAACACAAUCCCUUGCUCUGGGUGUGCCUAAGUGGAUAGAUAGGUU